UACUAGUCAAAUUAAGACUUUCAUUUCCAUAGACACUUCAAGAAUCCUUAACCCUUAAGCCAUUAAGUCAAGCUCUCUAGCUACUUCCCUUUCUUCAACCUAUAAAUUCAUACACAGCUUUACACUUUCUUGAUCAUCAGCAAUAUCGUUCCUGUUCUAAGGACUUCAAGAGCGUGCUAGAGUCAGAAAGAGAAAGAGAAAGAGAUGCCGCCACCAGGUUGGGGACCACCGGGCUGGGGACCACCGCCACCAGGAGGAGGGCCACCCGGUUGUGGUUGCUGUGAGUUUCUUUGCGGUGGACUUUGCCGCCUUCUGUCUUCAUGUUUCUAUGUGUUGUGCUGCUGCUGCAUAUUUGAGAGCUGUUGUGGGCCAAUGUUUGGUGGGCCAGGUGGACCAGGUGGGCCAGGUGGGCCUCCUGGAUUCUGAUCACUUCAUUUCCACCUAAUAUAUCUUCUUAUGUAAUGUGUUGUAUGGUUCCUUGUGUUUAUGUUGUGUUAAAUGUGUGAAGUAUGGUUAUGGUGAUGCUUAUCAACUUUACCUGAAAACAUCAAAAUGGAUUAUGCACUUUUGGUUAUCUUUUUAUAAUAA